rnacentral:rRNA from 1 species
UACGAAGGGUGCAAGCGUUACUCGGAAUUACUGGCGUAAAGCGUGCGUAGGUGGUUUGUUAAGUCUGAUGUGAAAGCCCUGGGCUCAACCUGGGAAUUGCAUUGGAUACUGGCAGGCUAGAGUGCGGUAGAGGGUAGUGGAAUUCCCGGUGUAGCAGUGAAAUGCGUAGAGAUCGGAGGAACACCAGUGGCGAAGGCGACUACCUGGACCAGCACUGACACUGAGGCACGAAAGCGUGGGAGCAAACAGG